CUUGAUCAGGUUUCGGUGUCGCUGGGUUUUGAAUAAUCGUGCUAGACCAAUCAGUGAGGGGUUUUGUGUUCUGAUUGAGAUUUGUGCAUGGGUUUGUCUUCAUUAGUGGAUAAUUGUGUCUUCAGUUGGUGAUCUGCUACAAGUAAAUCAAUCGUACCUGGGUUUAGAAGAUAAACGUGUUAGAUCAAUCAGGUGAUGGGUUUAUGCUUUGAUUGUUGCAUGUUCUUCAAUUAUAAUUCUUUUUUUUUUUUUCUUGGCUGAUUGCCACAAGCCUUGGUAGAUCUUUAAGAUUCAAGAGAAUCAGAUUAGGGAAGUUGAUGUAGGUGUUUCUGAUUUGUCAUCUAGAUGAUUAAUGAUUUCUGAUGCAAUUUUUUAGAUCUACA
rnacentral:lncRNA from 1 species